CCUAGACUUCCAUCUUUAUACUUUUGUGUUAAAGUUUUUAUUGUCACGACUACUAAUGUGAUCCAACAUGCAAAACUAUGUAACAUCUACAGAGAAUAGAAAAAUAGACAGAACGGAAACCGGUCCGUGGCCGGAUUAAUAUGUUGAAAGACAGAGAAUGGUCAAGGGAAAGCCUAGGUCAAGGAAGCCAGAAAUACACAAGAUCGAUAAGAAAGCCAAGUCAGGGAAACCAGAGAUGAGAAUAGUUAGGAAUAGCCAAAGUCAG